UUUCAAUUCUGGCUCAGGUGAACGCCGCCGGCGUGCUCAACACAGGCAAGUCGAACGGGAUCCAUCAGGCUUUGCUUGUUGGUGAGAGUGGCGAACGGGUGAGUAAUGCGUGACCGACCUGCCCCAUACACCGGAAUAGCUCCUGGAAACGGGUGGUAAUGCCGGAUGCUCCAGUUGAUCGCAUGGUCUUCUGGGAAAGCUUUCGCGGUAUGGGAUGGGGUCGCGUCCUAUCAGCUNGACGGCGGGGUAACGGCCCACCGUGGCUUCGACGGGUAGCCGGCCUGAGAGGGCGACCGGCCACAUUGGGACUGAGAUACGGCCCAGACUCCUACGGGAGGCAGCAGUGGGGAAUAUUGCACAAUGGGCGCAAGCCUGAUGCAGCGACGCCGCGUGAGGGAUGGAGGCCUUCGGGUUGUAAACCUCUUUUAUCGGGGAGCAAGCGAGAGUGAGUUUACCCGUUGAAUAAGCACCGGCUAACUACGUGCCAGCAGCCGCGGUAAUACGUAGGGUGCAAGCGUUAUCCGGAAUUAUUGGGCGUAAAGGGCUCGUAGGCGGUUCGUCGCGUCCGGUGUGAAAGUCCAUCGCUUAACGGUGGAUUCGCGCCGGGUACGGGCGGGCUGGAGUGCGGUAGGGGAGACUGGAAUUCCCGGUGUAACGGUGGAAUGUGUAGAUAUCGGGAAGAACACCAAUGGCGAAGGCAGGUCUCUGGGCCGUUACUGACGCUGAGGAGCGAAAGCGUGGGGAGCGAACAGGAUUAGAUACCCUGGUAGUCCACGCCGUAAACGGUGGAUGCUGGAUGUGGGGCCCGUUCCACGGGUUCCGUGUCGGAGCUUACGCGUUAAGCAUCCCGCCUGGGGAGUACGGCCGCAAGGCUAAUACUCAAAGAAAUUGACGGGGGCCCGCUACAAGCGGCGGAGCAUGCGGAUUUAUUCGAUGCUACGCGAAGUCCUUACCUGGGCUUGACAUGUUCCCGACAGCCGUAGAGAUAUGGCCUCCCUUCGGGGCGGGUUCACAGGUGGUGCAUGGUCGUCGUCAGCUCGUGUCGUGAGAUGUUGGGUUAAGUCCCGCUACGAGCGCUACCCU
rnacentral:rRNA from 1 species